GCAAGUCGAGGGGUAGCAGGGAGCUUGCUCCGCUGACGACCGGCGAACGGGUGCGUAACGCGUAUAGAAUCUGCCUUGUACAGGAGGAUAGUCUUUAGAAAUGAAGAUUAAUACUCCAUAAUGUAGUGAUUCGGCAUCGAAACACUAUUAAACAUUUAUGGGUACAAGAUGACUAUGCGUCCUAUUAGCUAGAUGGUAAGGUAAUGGCUUACCAAGGCAACGAUAGGUAGGGGGCCUGAGAGGAAUAUC
rnacentral:rRNA from 1 species